rnacentral:lncRNA from 1 species
ACAAGUUCUUUGUUUUUAUUUCUACUUUCUCCUGCAUUUUGCUGCUGGAGGGGGUAGACAAAUGAAUACCUGGUACUGAGCUGCCUUCCAGGGUAAAGUUUAACACUGCUCUGUGGUGAGAUCUCUAAGACGAGCUGCUAACUGGACAAGAACAAUAAAAUAGCUUACUCAUUUCCAGCACCUUCUAAAACUGUAGGCUAUUUCAGAAUCUAUCAUACUGGGAGUCAAAUAGAAGUAACAACUGUUUAAGUCUCAUAAUAGCAUCUGAGCCUUCCUCCUCGAGUGCCGUGCUUCUCCUGUAAAGUUUCCCAGGAAUGCUGCUUUCCCAUCCGAAGAAUCUCAAAGGAGAAUCAAGAAAGUAGCACAGCAGAAAGAAAACAAUGAACUAAGAAGGAAAUUUGGUAUCAUUAAAGAUAUAAUAAUCCAU